AGAACACUCCAGCCUGUUGCAAUUACCAGAGCACCCUACUAUCUCCAGUCAUUCUGAAAAGCUUUGUGGCACUCUGAUUUAAAGAACCCCCAACAGUUCAUAACAGCAAACUCAGCACAGCAUCUCCUCCUGUUGUCUUUUCAAUCAGCCUGUGUCAUGAAGCUGUCUUGAGCACACUCAAGAAACCUCCCAGAUUGUGCCUGACCAUGCAGCCCUCCAGU